GAUGAACGCUGGCGGCGUGCCUAAUACAUGCAAGUCGAGCGAAUGGAUUAAGAGCUUGCUCUUAUGAAGUUAGCGGCGGACGGGUGAGUAACACGUGGGUAACCUGCCCAUAAGACUGGGAUAACUCCGGGAAACCGGGGCUAAUACCGGAUAACAUUUUGAACCGCAUGGUUCGAAAUUGAAAGGCGGCUUCGGCUGUCACUUAUGGAUGGACCCGCGUCGCAUUAGCUAGUUGGUGAGGUAACGGCUCACCAAGGCAACGAUGCGUAGCCGACCUGAGAGGGUGAUCGGCGACACUGGGACUGAGACACGGCCCAGACGCCUACGGGAGGCAGCAGUAGGGAAUCUUCCGCAAUGGACGAAAGUCUGACGGAGCAACGCCGCGUGAGUGAUGAAGGCUUUCGGGUCGUAAAACUCUGUUGUUAGGGAAGAACAAGUGCUAGUUGAAUAAGCUGACACCUUGACGGUACCUAACCAGAAAGCCACGGCUAACUACGUGCCAGCAGCCGCGGUAA
rnacentral:rRNA from 1 species